UGUGCAAUUAUCUCCUUGGACACAUUCCUAGAAGUGACGUUAAUGUCAGCCAAUUCUUCAACAUUUUCAAUUAGAGAAUAAAAGUUGUGAUUACUUUGAAAAAUGUACUUUAUAUGUGGGACUCAAAACUGACCAGAUUCUCCCAUUUGAAACAUAUUUGAAACACAGAUAAACCUCAGUAUUGUUGUUUAUCUUGUGUCUAGUGUUUAAUAAUGCAUGUCAAAGCUCCUUGGAGUAGGUCGGUAGACAUUACUAGUUGUCUAAACCAAUAUCCUUUCUUCUUUACUAGUAGAACUCUGAUUUCUUCAGGGUGACAAUGUGUCCAGUUAAAAAUAUUCAUGCUCCUAGACUUUCAUAAGUCAUGGCUGGCCAUGUGACCAUCAAUUAAAUAAAAGUGAAUUUCUGUAGAGGAGGCUCAAGGAAAGCUUUAUGGAAGAAAUAUCGCUUUAGCUAUUUGAUCUGCGCCCAUCCCCUUUUUUUUUUUUUUUUUUAACCUGAAACAGGGACAUGAUACUGGAGGUAGAGCAGCCAUAUUUCACCCAUAAUAACAAAAGCCACACAGACACUAUUAAUAGUGUAGGACACCAGACGUGCCUAGGUCCAUGGUUGCUUUGGAGGGCCAACUUACCAGCUCUGGACUAUCCACUUCUGGGUUUGUUGUUAGGUGAGGAAGAUUAUAUCCCUUCUAUAUAAGAUUUUGUUAUUGUCUGUUGUAAGCAUCAAAUGCAAUUCUUAGUUGACAUAAUAAGAUAGGCCAAGUUACCAUUUAUUUAGCACUAUAUACAGAAUUUUUUAAUAGACAGAAUGAGGUGAAAAUGGUGACAGAAAAUGCAAACAAGCUAGCAACAACGUUAAAACAUUGUCUUCUUUAAUAGACUUAGUUUCCCUUUAAAUACCUACAUUUUACAAAUAUGUUAACACCACUUUAUAAUAAUUAAGUUAAAUUUCGUGAAUUAAAGUUUAUUAACUCAUAUGGUAGUAUUAAAAUAUGUUCACAAAUUAUUUGAUACUUCUUCCUUCAAAGGGUCAAACUUCAUUCCCCUCACCUUGAGUUUGGACUGUAUUAAAUGACUUGUUCUCAUGAAUAGAAUGUAGUGGAAAUGAUGUAAUGUGACUUCUGAGGGGAGACUAUAAAACAUGCCAGCCUUCUUAUUCUUUCUCUAGGAUUACUUGUUGGGGCCAGGUAGCUGUUAUGUCAGAGUCAUAAGGUCACUCAGGAAACUUAUAAGGAGGCUCACAUGGUGAGUAAUUAAGGCUUCUAGCCAACAACCGGUGAGAUAUUGAGGCCUUCUGACAAUAGCCAUGUGAGUGAGCUUGGAAGCAGAUCCUCCAACUCAUCAGGCCUUCAUAUGAUUGCAUACAUCAUGGUCAACAUCUUGACUGUAACCUAGAAAGAGACCCUGAGACAGAACCAUUCAGCUAAGGUGCUCCUGAAUUCCUAGGCCACAGAAACAGUGAGAUACUAAAUGUUUAAAUGAUUGUUGUUUUAAGCCACUAAGUUUUGGGAUAGUUUGUUAUGCAACAAUAGGUAACUCAUACAGCUGGAUAUAAUAGAGCCUAGCACAAUGGCUGGCACACAUGCAGGUGUUCAAUUAUUUGUUAUUUGAAUGAAUAAAUAAUUGAAUGAAGUACAUCUUUUUCACUUUAGUGGGUAGCAUAUAAUGUUAGGAUUAUCUUUGCUCCCUGACACCUGUAUUAUCUAAGGGUUUUUGAUCUCUUAUAGAGAGAUGAAGUGUGAAUCUUACUGAGAGCUAAACUUCGCCAGUUGUGGAAGUAACAUGGUGAAUAGAACAAUGGAAUCCUUGAAACUUGAAUUCUUCCCCCAGUUGUUUUUCCUCAAUCAAUUUUUUUUAAUUUUUUAAAAAUUAAUGAGUUAACACAAAAUUAAACCAUGUCUUGAAACCAGACAGCCAUCUUGUCUGCCAUCUCCAAGCAAAUUACAGAUUGACUCAUAAUACAAAUUUGCCCAGAGGGCUUGCAAUACUAUUUCACAAAGUUGGCUGUAUUAUUUCUCUUCACAAAUGACCAGUCUGAUGCAUAGCAUGUUUAGCUACAGAUGCCUUUGAUGACUCUCUCUGCAACAUUUUCAUGGCUCACCAACAGGUCUGUCUGCAUUUCUCAGGUCUACCAAGGGGGUGGUUCAAUUCUGCUUUGAUGUAAUCUAUUCAAAGCUCAGAAUCUACAGAUCUAAAUUCUCUCAAAUCCCUCUGUUGCAGGAUUCUUGCAUUCUUGCUCCUUUUCAAACUGAAUCAUUUCCUUAAAAAGUCAACUAAAAGUGGAUGGCUCCUCCUGUAAACUUUUAAACACAGCUCCAGCCUUUUUGUAGCCACCACUUUGGUAAGCCCAAUCCAGGUACUUAUCUUUCAGUGCCCCCAGUUUUAUCACUGAUUAGCUGGAUGACCUGUAUAGUAAGUCACCUAACCCUUCUGAAUCUCAAUUUCCCUAUCCACUAACUGGGGAAAAUUAUCCCAAUGUACCCCAAAAGGCAGUCAAUGAGAUUAUAUGUAAAUAUGCUUUAUAUAAAGCAUUAGCAUUCUUUUAAUUAAAUUAGGCUGAUGAGGUCUACCUGAUGUUUAAGCAAUUAAGCAUUAAGUAUUUUACAUGAAUACCAUGGAGAUCUUUCAGGAAGUGACAACUUAUUUACUGAUUUUACUGUGUACUGUAUAAAAUAGCAUCAUUCAUAGCAAACAGUUUGGGUUUAAGAGUAUGGCAGAAUGGUAGCUUAUAUGUCAGAUCUCAUUUUAUGAGCCUGUUGAAAAUUUAUUACUCUUUUAAAAGAAUGCAUAAUUAUCACUGGCUCCUUUUUCUUUUUCAUGAAUUAAUUUGUAACUGUGGCUGAGUAUAUCUGCUCCUCUUUAUUGUGACAGAGGUACUUAAACAAACUUAAUAACAAACAUAUAUAUAACUGGUUAUUUGAGUUUAUGAGUUCAUCCUAGAGCAAAAUUGCACCCAAUAGCAAGAAAAUAAAUGGCAGAAAACAUGUCUUUCUCUUUCAGAGGGCAGAACUUAGGGCACACAGGGGAAGGCUUUAUAUACUAUCAAAGGUGGAGAUGAGGCAAUUAUUAACAAUGCACAUUUUUGUGGCAUGACUAACCUGAGAGGUAAAUAUGUUAGAAUGAGUAAGACAGAGCCUUAAACACAAGGUCCCUAAUUUAAUUGUAUGGUUUUUUCUUGCUUUCAGCUAUUCAGCUGUGAGCCCAAAUCAGUUGAAACUACUGGCCUAAUUAGAUAUCAGACUGUUUGUUGUUGUGGAUGAUCCCUGAGUAAGAAAAAGAAGAACUCUAGGGGGAAGAAAGGGACAGAGCUUCAUGCACCUCAUUUCCUAUGUUAAAUUAGGGAGUAAGUGAAAAAUGGACACCAGGAAACAAAGAUGAGGGAAAUCCUUCUGGCAACAUUGUGCUUUUAGACAGAGCUUCUCAUCUCCUAUUGAAAAUACCUGACAAUGCCACCCUGUAUAACCUAAGAGACCAUUUUCUAAACAGUUUUUAUUCCUUGCAGCUACAUCUUCACAAAAUUUACCAAGAUUUUGAGACAAUUGGAAUGGCUGGUGUUGUUUUCUGAAUUGACUGACAAAGGAAUAGGGUUAAGAUGGAGAAUAGAGAAGAGGAAGAAAUAAAGAAAAAAAGUCUAGAAAAUACAUUUAACCUCAAGGGAAGAGGACUCAGUGUGACUCACAGCAUAUUAGCUUGAAAGCAGAGACUGUCACGUGUGCACUGAGGAACUUGUGUCAUCUAGAAAAAUAUUCUCAGCUUACGAGGCUAGAAUCCCUGGGGUUACUCUUUGUUCCUCUAGUUCCCUGAAAUAAGAAUCAACAGUAUUCCUUAAUUGUUUUCUCAAUUGAUGAGAAACAGAAGCAGAAACAUUUGUUGUAAAUGAAAUAGUUGAAGUUUCUUUAGUUUGAAAUCCCAAAGGAGUAACUUAUUUAUAAAUGUAUAUGUUGCAUCUGUUAUUGAAAAGAACUAAUUGACUUACAAAUUGUGUAGCUGCAUAAUGUGGCAUUUUUUUUUCUUAUUUCAAGUUGUAUUUCUAAAUUUAAAGGUGGACCUAUAGUAGAUACCUUUUCUAGUUUCUAUUCAUCCUCCAUUGAGAAGCAUCUCCUUCCUUGACCUUUUUCCACAAAUUCCCAUUUUGCUGAAAUGGCUCACAGAACUUGGGCAAAUACUUUACCUAUGUUUACUCACUUAUUAUAAUGGAUACAGAUUAAUAGCCAGAUAGAAGAGAUAUAUAAUGUAAGGUAUGGGAGAAAUGGCAUGUAGCUUCCAUGCUGUCUCCAGGCAUACCAACCUCUAGGAAACUCUAUGUGUUUGGAAAGCCCCCCAACCCUAUCCUUUUGGGGUUUUACGGAGGUAAUAAAGGUAAAAUGAGGGGAUAAAGGUAGGGCCCUUUAUCCAGCAGACCUGGUGCCCUUCUAAGAAGAGGAAGAGUUCUCUCUCCCCAUUAUGUAAGGACACAGAGAGAAGCCAAUCAUCUGUAAACCAGAAAAAAAAAGCCCUCAGCAGAAACCAAGUCAGCCAGAAUGUGGAUCUUGGACUUGCUAGCCUCCAGAACUGUGAAAAAUAAAUUUAUGUUGUUUAAGCUAUUCAGUUUGUGGUAUUUUGUUACAGUAGCCCAAGCAGACUAAUACAAGGGGCUACCUGAAAGAUUGAUGCAAGAUCCUCUCCUCUGUUUUGCUAACUCAGAACUUAGGGCAGAAAAAGCUGGAAAACACAGCAAACUGAAGUAAUAACCCUAGACAUCUGGAGGCAGAGAUUACAGUUGAAACAUGCAAUAGACUGCCUAAGGCAAAAUCUGGAGAGAGUUUCUUUGGGAAAUUAAAAUAUUCAAAAGCAACCAUGUAUACAUGGGAAUUUAGAAAGCCAUGCACAUGUCCAGGGCAGAACACUUGCUUAGAAAACACCUGAGAAAACCCUAAGCUUUCAUUUUGGGCUGAUCCCUUAGCACAGUGCAAGCCUGACUAAGAACUGAAGUACAGCCCUGGCUUAGAGCCACUUUGCAAAGACUGUGAGAGCUUCUGGCAUUCGAGGAAAUCUGCCAAAACACUAGCUGAACACAGGCUAAGGGACAGAGGCUUCCGUGACCAUAUUGACAAGGAAUACAGUCUUUGAAAUAAUAGUUUGAGACAGGCAUCAAAUAAGCUGACUGCUACAGCCUUCAAGAACCAGAAAACAUCAAACCCCCCUAGGAAAGUGAAGAAAAUCUAAUUUCUAGUUACCACAUCAUAGGAGCCAAAUGUCCACUUUUCAAGCUCACACACAAAAAUCACAAAGCGUACAAGGAAACAAGAAAGUAUGGCUCAUUCAAAGGAACAAAAUAAAUGGAAAGAAACUGUCCCUGAGGAAGUCCAGACAUUGGAAUUACUAAACGAAGACUUUAAAACAAUUGUCUUAAAUAUGCUCAAAAUGCUAUACAUGGAAAUGAAAACAUUGACAGUGAACUAAAGGAAGCCAGGAAAAUGAUGUAUGAACAAGAUGAGAAUAUCAGCAAAGAGAUAGUAAUUAUAAAAAGGAACCAGACAGAAAUUCUGAAGCUGAAAAAUAAAAAUAAAAAAAUCUAGGUGGCUUCAGCAACAGAACUGAGCAAGCAGAAGAGUCAGUGAACUUGAAGAUAAGACCAUUGAAAUUAUUGAGGGUGAGGAGCAGAAAGGAAAAAGAAUGAAGAAAUUUUCAUUUGUUGUUGGAAUGCAAAUGGUAUAGCUACUUUUUUUUUUUUCUUUUUUAACUAGAGAUGAGUUCUCACUAUGCUGCCCAGGCUGGUCUUGAAUUCCUGAGCUUGUGAUCCUCCCACCUCAGCUUCUCAAAGUGCUAGGAUUACAGGCAUGGGCCACCAUGCCUGGUUCAGUAUAGGCAUGUUGAAAGGCAGUUUUCUUACAAAACUAAAUAUACUCUUACUAUACAAUCCAGCAAUUGGGCUCGUUGUUAUUUACCCAGAUCAGGUGAAACUUAUGUCCACACAAAAACCUGCAUUUGAAUGUUUACAGCAGCUUUAUUAAUAAUUGCCAGAACUUGAAAGUAACCAAGAUGCCCUUUUAUGUACCCUUCAGAAUUCCUAUGCUGAAGCCCUAACCUCUGGUGUGGCUGUAUUUGGAGAUGGGGUCUCUAAGGAAGUAGUGCAAGUUAAGGGUGGAGCCCUGAUCUGGUAAGAUUAGUGUUCUCAAGAAGAGAUACCAGAGCACUCUCUCUUCCUCUCUCUCAGCAUACAUGAGGAAAGGCCAUGUGGGGACAUUAAAAAAAAAGAUAGCUGCCUAUAAAGCCAGGAAAAGAGCCCUCACCAGAAAGUGAAUUUGGCAGCACUGUUGUCAUGGAUUUCCAGCCUCCAGAACUGUGAGAAGAGUUUACAGAGACGAAGGGACCUGUGCAUCACCAUCAAGAGGACCAACAUACAUGUUUUGGGAGUUUUAGAUGACAAAGAAAGAGAGGGGCAGAAAUAAUAUUUGAAAAAUUAUAGCCAGAAACUUCCAAAAUUUUAUUAAAUAUAGUAACCUACAAAUCCAAGAAACUGAAUGAACUCCAAGUUGGAUAAAGUCAAAAAGACCCACCUUUAAGACAUUUUAACCACCCCAUCAAAAGCCAAAGGUAGAGACAGAAUCUUGAAAGCAGCAAACAAGAAAGAAGUAACUCAUCACAUACAAGGAAUCCUCAUUAAAAUUAAAGGCCAGUUUCUUAUCAGAAAACACAGAAGCCAGAAGACAGUGGAGUGACAUAUUUAAGUGGGUGAAAGAAAAUGAAACCUAUUAACUGAAAUUUUAUAUCUAGCAAAACUGUCCUUCAAAAUGAUGGAAAAGUUAGGAUAUAUUCAGAUAAACAAAAGUUGAGUUCAACAUUUCCUUCCAACAAGAAAUGCAAAGGAAGUCUUUCAAGUCGAAAUGAAAAGACACUAGCCAGCAAUUCAAAGCCAUGUGAAGAAAAUAAAGGCCUACAGUAAAGGUAGGGCAAAUAUAAAAACAAGUACUGUUUAAGUUUUGUUUGUAACUCUACCUUUUAUUUUUAAUAAGAUUUAACAAACACAUAUAUAAAAAUAAUAAAUCUCCUGUUGGGAACACAAUGUUAAAGAUGUAAAAAGACAUUAACAACAUAAAGGGGGAAGAUAAAGAUGUAUAGUAGUAUAGUUUUUAAAUGUUUCUGAAGUUAAGUUGGUAUCAAUGCAAAAUAUAUUGCCUUAAAUUUAGGGCAUUAAAUGUAAUUGCUGUGGUAACCACAAAGAAAAUAUCUGAAAGAUAUAUACAAAAGGAAAUGAGAAGCGAAUCAAAAUGGUUCACUACAAAAAAAUCAACUAAACAUAAAAGAAGGCAAUAAUGGAGAAAAUGAGAGAGGAAAAAAGUAUGACAUACAGAAAACGAGUAUCAAAAUGGCAGAAGAACUUCAUUAUGAGUAAUUAUUUUAAAUAUAAAUGGAUUAAACUAUUCACUCAAAGGCAGAGAUUGGCAGAAUGGAUAAAUGCUGUCUGUAAGAGAUUCACUUUAGAUUUAACGACACAAAUAGGUCGAAAGUGAAAGAAUGGAAAAGAUAUUACAUCCAAAUAGUAACCAAAAGAGAGCCAAGGAGGCUAUACUAAUAUUAGGCAAAAAACUUCAAGUCAAAAUCUGUUGUAAUGACAAGGACAUUAUAUAUUGAUAUAUAGAUAAAUAUAUAUAUAUAUAUCAUCAAAAAGUUAUCAUAAUUAUAAACAUAUAUGCACCAAACAACAGAGACCCAAGAUGUUUCAAGCAAAUAUUGACAGAAUUAAAGGCAGAUAAAUAGUUGUACAAUAAUAGUUGGAGACUCCAAUACUUACUUUCAAAAAUGAAUAGAAUAUCUAGACAGAAGAUAAGUCACAAAAUAAAAGACUUGAAUAAGCCAACUAGACCUAACGUGUAUAUAGAACAUUUUACCCAAUAACAGCAGAAUACAUAUUUUUCUCAAGGGCACAUGGAAGAUUCUUUAGGAUAGAUUAAAUGUUAAGCCACAAAACAAUUGAAUAAAUUUUUAAAAGUUGAAAUCAUACACAGUAUCUUUUCUGACCAAGUAGAAUGAAGCUACAAAUCAAAAUCAAAGGAAAACUGCAAAAUCCACAAAUAUAUGGAAAUUAAACUACACACUACCAAGCACUCAUUGGUCAAAGAACAAACUACAAUAAAAAAUUAGAAUAAUGAAAAUGAAAACACACAUAUUAAAACGUAAGAUGUUUUUGUUUGUUUGUUUGGAGACAGACUCCUGCUCUGUCACCCAGGCUGGAGUGAAGUGGCACAAUCUUGGCUCACUGCAACCUCUGCCUCCUGGGUUCAAGUGAUUCUCUUCCUCAGCCUCCUGAGUAGGUGGGAUCACAGGCGCCCGCCACCAUGCCUGGCUAAUUUUCAUAUUUUUAGUAGAGAUGGGAUUUCACCAUGUUGGCCAGGCUGGUCUCAAACUCCUGACCUCAGGUGAUCUGCCCACCUCGGCCUCCCAAAUUGCUGGGAUUACAGGCAUGAGCCACUACGCCCAGCCUAACAUAAGAUGUUUAAUAAUGAAAACUAAAACACAUAUAUUAAAAUGUAAGAUGCAACAAAAACAGUGCUGAGAGGAAAACUUAUAACUGUAAAUUCCUACAUUAAAAAAGACAAAAGAUAACCAAUGGCCUAACUUUAUCCCUUGAGAAACUAGAAAAGGAAGAGCAAACCAAACCCAAAACUAGCCAAUGGAAGGAAAUAAAGAUUAGAGCAGAGAUCAAUAAAACAGAAUAAACAAUAGAGAGAAUCAGUAAAACCAAAAUUUGACUCUGUAAAAAAAGUAAUCAAAUUGACAAACCUUUAGCUAAACUGACAAAAGAAAAAAGAAAGACACAAAUGAUUAAAAUUUAAAAUGAGAAUAGGGGCAUUACUGCCAGCUCUGGAUAAUCUAAAUGAAAUGGAUAAACACACAAAUUAACUAAACUUACUCAAGAUGAAAUGGAAAAUUUCAGUAGACCUAUAACAAGGCGAAAGAUUGAACCAGUGAUCAAAAACCUCCCAAAAAGAAAAGUCCAGGACCAGAUAGCUUCACUGGUGAACUUUGCUAAAUAUUUCAAGAAGAAUUAACACCAAUUCUUCUCAAACUCUUUCAGAAAAUAGAAGAGGAAAGAACACUUUCUAACUUUUUCUGUGAGGUCAGCAUUACCCUGAUACCAAAGUCAGAUAAAGACAUCACAAAAAAGUGCACACUGAUAUCCCUUCUGAAUAUUGAAGCAAAAAUCUUCAACAAAGCACUAGCAAACUGAAUCCAACAGCAUACUUAAAAGACAAACAACAUGAUUUAAAAAUGGACAAAAGACUUGCAUAGACACUUCUCAAAAAAUGUACAAAUGGCUAAUAAGCACAUGAAAAGAUGUUCAACAUCCUUAGUUAUUAGGGUAAUGCAAAUCAAAACAACAAUGAGGUACCAUUUCACACUUACUAGGAUAGCUGUAAGACUAAGAAAAAACAAAACAAAAUACCCAAACAGAAAAUAACAAUUGUUGACAAGGAUGUGGAGAAAUUGGAACAUUUCUACAUUACUGGUGGGAAUGUAAAAUGGUGCAACCACUGUGGAAACCAGCAUGGCAGUUUUUCAAGAGGCUAACCAUAGAAUAACCAUACAACCCAGCAGUUCAGCUCUGAGAUAUACACCCCAAAUAAUUGAAAACAGAGACUCAAGAGAUAUUUGUACAUGAACGUUUGUUGUGACCUUAUUCAUAAUAGCCAAAAGGUGGAAACAACCCAAGUGUUCAUCAACCAAGAAAUGGAUAAACAAAAUAUUUUAUACACAUACAGUGGGAUAUUAUUCAGCCAUGAAAAAAAUCAAGUUUGAUAUAAGCUACUACAUGGAUGAGACUUGAAAACAUUAUACUAAGUGAAAUAAGCCAGACAAAUGACAAAGUAUUGUAUAAUUCCACUUAUAUGAAAUAUCUAGAAUAGGCAAAUUUAUAGAGACAGAAAAUAGGUUAAAGGUGGAGGGGAUAAGGGAGUGUUAUUGCUUAAUGGUUAUUGAAUUUGUUUUGGGUGCUGGAAAAGCUUCGUUGACAGAUAGUGGUGGUGUUUGCACAAUAGCAUGUAUGCAAUUAAUGCCACUGAACUGUACCCUUAAAAUGGUUAAAAUGUCAUACUUUGUGUUGUGUAUAUGUUAUCAUAAUAAAAGAAUUAUUCUGUAUAUAUUUUUAAAUUACAGUGUUUUGCUGAAGAAAGGAAUAAUGUUGGCAGAAAAGGCAAAUGUAUUGUUUUGCUUCCUUUUUUAGAGACUUUAAUUAUUUGUAGGUAGACAAUAUUCUUACAGGUAAUUAAAGUAUGCUUAGUUGUCUUUUUAAAAAUACCAUAUUUUAAUUCAUUUGAAAAGGAAUUGAGUAAUCUUGAUAGAUUAUCAUACAUCUACUUGAUGAAAUAUUCUGUAACUGCGAAAAUGGUAACUGUUAAGAGUUAUCAUUAACAGGAAAAACAGGAAAAGAUUGCUGGAAGAAAUCUGUCUACUAUACCUAUUAGGUUUGUUGUCUCAGCUGGGGCCUGGCGGCUUUCCUUUUACUUUUCCGAUUAGUUCUCUUUGCCAUUUCCCAUGAAAGUUACUUGAAUCAAUAUUCACGCUCCUUUAUUUGCUUCACUUUUAUUCUCACCAGGUGGUAUUUUUUAAGAUAAUAUACCUCAACUCCUUCUCUUCUACCUGCAAACUUCCCUCAGUAGCAACUUCUGAAGUGUUGUCUCCUCCUGCUCUAGGCUGGCCUUCCAGCCCUACUCUGCUUUGGAGACCAGCCCCUCCCUCCUCUUCAGCACUUGCCUCAGCGACUAACCUGCAUCUUUUCUAAAUUUCCAAUUUCUGUCACUCCUCUGACUUCUAUAUCCCAUUACCUUACCACCCUCUGCAACUGCUGCACACUUCUUCCUUUGCAUUAUCACUAGGUUUUUUGAAACAGCAGUCUGCAUUCACCAUCUCUGCUUACCUAUUCAUGAAUUUAUUCAUUCCCUUGUGAAAUGUGGAGAACAUGCUUCUUUAUAGAUGGCAUCAGAAUUUCUCUAAGAAAGAAAUGUGUCUUUCUUUGAAAGAAAA